rnacentral:RNase_P_RNA from 2 species
CCAGUUGGCCGGGCAGCCGCGCUUUACCAAUGCCGAAAGGCGGUAGGGUGAGGAAAGUCCGGGCUCCACGGAUACACGGUGCCGGAUAACGUCCGGCGAGGGCGACCUCAGGGAAAGUGCCACAGAAAGCAAACCGCCUGUCACGACAGGUAAGGGUGAAAGGGUGGGGUAAGAGCCCACCGCAUCUCCGGCAACGGAAAUGGCACGGUAAACCCCACCGGGAGCAAGACCGAAUAGGGAUGACGUGGCAGGCCGAAAGGUCUUCCGGCCGGUUUCCAGGCCAGUCAUCCGGGUGGGUUGCGCGAGGCAGCGUGCGAACGCUGUCCCAGAGGAAUGGCUGCCACGUUCCGGUUCACGCCGGAGCCAUACAGAACCCGGCUUACAGGCCAACUGGCGAU